rnacentral:rRNA from 1 species
AGUUCGGUCCCUAUCCGUCGCGGGCGUAGGAAAUUUGAGAGGAGCUGUCCUUAGUACGAGAGGACCGGGAUGGACCGACCUAUGGUGCACCAGUUGUUCCGCCAGGAGCAUCGCUGGGUAGCUAAGUCGGGACGGGAUAAACGCUGAAAGCAUCUAAGCGUGAAGCCUCCCUCAAGAUGAGAUUUCCCAUAGCAUAAGCUAGUAAGACCCCUUGAAGAACACGAGGUUGAUAGGUCAGAGGUGUAAGUAUGGCAACAUAUUUAGCUGACUGAUACUAAUAGGUCGAGGGCUUGACCAAU